UGUAAACAGACAGAUGAUAAUUUUAGUUACAAUUUUAUUUUAAAAAAUAUAUCAGAAAUUUCACAAAGCAGUUGCAUCGUGAACUGAUUUGUACUUCUUAAUCAAGAAAUAUAAUCUUCCUGUUUUUUUUUUCAGGUUCCUGAGCUCAUGAGUGUAUGAGGAAAAGAAAAAUCCUGUGCAAAUUAAAGAAAGUGGAAAGAGAUCUGGCAAAGUACUGGUGCAAACAGGUCCAAAUAUUUUUAAAUGGAAUCUGAACUGAGUAUCACAUGAUCAUCUCUGUUCAAGUCUGCCUAUGCUUGCAUAAGUGAGUG
rnacentral:lncRNA from 1 species